GUGGGUAUAGCUCAGUGGUAGAGUGCAUGCUUAGCAUGCACAAGGUCUUGGGUUCAAUCCCCAGUACCUCCA
rnacentral:tRNA from 1 species